rnacentral:rRNA from 1 species
CUGGUGGCGAGUGGCGAACGGGUGAGUAAUGCGUCGGAACGUGCCGAGUAAUGGGGGAUAACGCAUCGAAAGGUGUGCUAAUACCGCAUACGCUCUGAGGAGGAAAGCGGGGGACCUUCGGGCCUCGCGUUAUUCGAGCGGCCGACGUCUGAUUAGCUAGUUGGUGGGGUAAAGGCUCACCAAGGCGACGAUCAGUAGCGGGUCUGAGAGGAUGAUCCGCCACACUGGGACUGAGACACGGCCCAGACUCCUACGGGAGGCAGCAGUGGGGAAUUUUGGACAAUGGGCGAAAGCCUGAUCCAGCCAUGCCGCGUGAGUGAAGAAGGCCUUCGGGUUGUAAAGCUCUUUUGUCCGGGAGGAAAUCCCGCAACCUAAUACGUUGCGGGGAUGACAGUACUGGAAGAAUAAGCACCGGCUAACUACGUGCCAGCAGCCGCGGUAAUACGUAGGGUGCAAGCGUUAAUCGGAAUUACUGGGCGUAAAGCGUGCGCAGGCGGUUUGAUAAGUCAGAUGUGAAAUCCCCGGGCUUAACCUGGGAACUGCGUUUGAAACUGUCAGGCUAGAGUACGUCAGA